UGCAUGUCAGUGCAGCCUUACGGUGGAACGGCGAACGGCUCAGUAAUGUUGCGGUAAUUUGGUCUCUGUGUGUAAACUAACCACGGUAACCUGUGGCUAAAAGCGGAGAAUAAGGCGCAACCCUAUCAGCUUGUUGGUAGUGUAAAGGACUACCAAGGCUAUGACGGGUAACGGGAAAUCAGGGUUUGAUUCCGGAGAGGGAGCCUGAGAGAUGGCUCCCACGUCCAAGGACGGCAGCAGGCGCGAAACUUGUCCACUCCUUACUGGGGAGACAGUCAUGAGACGUGAGUAUAAGACCUGAGUGUAAAGACCUUAGGGUGAAGCAAUUGGAGGGCAAGCUUUGGUGCCAGCAGCCGCGGUAACUCCAACUCCAAGAGUGUCUA
rnacentral:rRNA from 1 species